rnacentral:rRNA from 1 species
AUUGAACGCUGGUGGCAUGCUUAACACAUGCAAGUCGGACGGCAGCAUGGUUCGUAGCAAUACGAAUUGAUGGCGAGUGGCGAACGGGUGAGUAAUGCAUAGGAAUCUGCCUAGAGGAGGGGGAUAGCUCAGGGAAACUUGAGGUAAUACCGCGUAAGACCGUAAGGUGAAAGGGGGGAGUUUACUCCUCUCGUCUUUAGGUGAGCCUAUGUUGGAUUAGCUAGUAGGUGAGGUAAGAGCUCGACCUAGGCGACGAUCCAUAGCUGUUCUGAGAGGAAGGACAGCCACACUGGGACUGAGACACGGCCCAGACUCCUACGGGAGGCAGCAGUGGGGAAUAUUGGACAAUGGGGGCAACCCUGAUCCAGCGAUGCCACGUGUGCGAAGAAGGCCUUCGGGUUGUAAAGCACUUUAGUGAGGGAGGAAGGCGAUAUGGCGAAUACCCGUAUUGAUUGACAGUACCUCAAGAAUAAGCACCGGCAAACUCUGUGCCAGCCGCCGCCGUAA